rnacentral:rRNA from 1 species
GCCUGAUCUAGCCAUGCCGCGUGAGUGACGAACGUCUUAGGAUCGUAAAGCUCUUUCUCCAGAGAUGAUAAUGACAGUAUCUGGUAAAGAAACCCCGGCUAACUCCGUGCCAGCAGCAGCGGUAAUA